AGUGAACGCUGGCGGCAGGCCUAACACAUGCAAGUCGAACGGCAGCACAGUGGAGCUUGCUCCAUGGGUGGCGAGUGGCGGACGGGUGAGGAAUACAUCGGAAUCUGCCCAGUCGUGGGGGAUAACAUAGGGAAACUUAUGCUAAUACCGCAUACGACCUACGGGUGAAAGCGGGGGAUCGCAAGACCUCGCGCGAUUGGAUGAGCCGAUGUCCGAUUAGCUAGUUGGCGGGGUAAUGGCCCACCAAGGCGACGAUCGGUAGCUGGUCUGAGAGGAUGAUCAGCCACACUGGAACUGAGACACGGUCCAGACUCCUACGGGAGGCAGCAGUGGGGAAUAUUGGACAAUGGGCGCAAGCCUGAUCCAGCCAUGCCGCGUGGGUGAAGAAGGCCUUCGGGUUGUAAAGCCCUUUUGUCCGGAAAGAAAAGCCUCGGAUUAGUACCCUGGGGUGAUGACGGUACCGGAAGAAUAAGCACCGGCUAACUUCGUGCCAGCCGCCGCCGUAACAC
rnacentral:rRNA from 1 species